rnacentral:rRNA from 1 species
CGCGUAGGCGGCUUUGUAAGUCAGAGGUGAAAGCCUGGAGCUCAACUCCAGAACUGCCUUUGGGACUGCAUCGCUAGAAUCAUGGAGAGGUAAGUGGAAUUCCGAGUGUAGAGGUGAAAUUCGUAGAUAUUCGGAAGAACACCAGUGGCGAAGGCGACUUACUGGACAUGUAUUGACGCUGAGGUGCGAAAGCGUGGGAGCAAACA